AUCAAUUGCUCUAGAUAUUCAUUAUUUUGGGGUCUCUCUCUAGACUUUUAGAGAGAGAAGCUCUCUUUCUUUUCGUUUUCUGAAUCUGGGGUUACAAACGCUCCUUUACCGUCGCUCAGUCGACCUCCUCUGGCCCUUCGAAAGGAGGGAGGCCCCUCUUUCCUACCUGGCUUAUGGAUUUCCCUCCCCACAACUGAGUUGGAAUAUAUCUAUGUAAGCCUCGAAUCAUCAAAUGUCGAGCUUGUUCAUGAA